GAUGAACGCUAGCUACAGGCUUAACACAUGCAAGUCGAGGGGAAACGACAUUGAAAGCUUGCUUUUGAUGGGCGUCGACCGGCGCACGGGUGAGUAACGCGUAUCCAACCUGCCCACCACUUGGGGAUAACCUUGCGAAAGUAAGACUAAUACCCAAUGAUAUCUCUAGAAGACAUCUGAAAGGGAUUAAAGAUUUAUCGGUGAUGGAUGGGGAUGCGUCUGAUUAGCUUGUUGGCGGGGUAACGGCCCAACAAGGCGACGAUCAGUAGGGGUUCUGAGAGUAAGGUCCCCCACAUUGGAACUGAGACACGGUCCAAAAUCCUACGGGAGGCAGCAGUGAGGAAUAUUGGUCAAUGGACGAGAGUCUGAACCAGCCAAGUAGCGUGCAGGAUGACGGCCCUAUGGGUUGUAAACUGCUUUUAUAAGGGAAUAAAGUGAGUCUCGUGAGACUUUUUGCAUGUACCUUAUGAAUAAGGACCGGCUAAUUCCGUGCCAGCAGCCGCGGUAA
rnacentral:rRNA from 1 species